rnacentral:rRNA from 1 species
CCUACGGGAGGCAGCAGUGAGGAAUAUUGGUCAAUGGGCGCGAGCCUGAACCAGCCACGCCGCGUGAAGGAUGACUGCCCUACGGGUUGUAAACUUCUUUUAUAAAGGAAUAAAGUGAGGCACGUGUGCCUUUUUGUAUGUACUUUAUGAAUAAGGAUCGGCUAACUCCGUGCCAGCAGCCGCGGUAAUACGGAGGAUCCGAGCGUUAUCCGGAUUUAUUGGGUUUAAAGGGAGCGUAGAUGGGUUGUUAAGUCAGUUGUGAAAGUCUGCGGCUCAACCGUAAGAUUGCAAUUGAUACUGGCAGCCUUGAGUGCAGGUGAGGUAGGCGGAAUUCGUGGUGUAGCGGUGAAAUGCUUAGAUAUCACGAAGAACUCCGAUGGCGAAGGCAGCUUACUAAACUGCCACUGACAUUGAGGCUCGAAAGUGUGGGUAUCAAACAGGAUUAGAUACCCCUGUAGUC